rnacentral:lncRNA from 1 species
GAAAGAAUUUCUUUUCAAGGAGAACUGAAGUUAUUGGAACAUUCAUGUUAUCCAUCAUCAGCCCCGACCCUCUCAAUCCAAGCACAAAGUGAGGGAGGCAGGAACAGUUUGUGAAGCUCAGCAGUUUGUGGGUGUGACACUGGACAGAGUCCCAGAGGGACCGUUUCUUUUGGUACUGCAUGAAGUUUAUCACAUGUUGGUGCUCAUUCUGGACUGGCUGUUAGCUGGAGUGAGCUCCCCUUGGCUACCUUCUCUUGGAGGAGACUUGACGUGUAUCUGGUUGCGCAGCACUGCGGCUCGCAGGAUCAUUGCCUUGGCACGUCGCUGGAACUCUUUGCCCAUUAGUAAAG